rnacentral:lncRNA from 1 species
AGGACACAGGGGUGGUGGGGGUGAUGUGGGUGGCAGUGAAGGGAUGGCUGGCCGAUCAAAGGGCCCCCUCAGGCCAAACCCAUGGAAAAGGCUUUGAUCUCCUAAUCACAUCUAUUUAUCUUGGGUCCAGCCUGAGACAAAAGAACCGCCCUGAAGGGCCGGCCUUUGAGGGCAAGCCUCGCUCCUGAGCUUCUCUGUGGGUUACUGAGACCUUGGGCAACCAAGAAGGCAAAUCUGGGACCCCUGAGGCCCAGGCGGACCCUGGCCGGCUGGCAACGGGGAGAGGGGGAUCGAAUGCACUGGAACCAGGCCUGGAAAACCAAACAUGAUGGCCAGAUCUGAAGUGACAGCCAGAUGCAGAGAAGACAGCAGCACCAUCAACGGGGUUUACUUGUCAUCCAAGUUCUCUGACUGGGGUAUUGGAGACUGGGGACUGAGAGGAAAAGAGAAGCAGAGUUCCGUGAUCUUUCAUUCACAUCUCAUAAUAUCAGCAGCAAGAACAGUAAUAGCAUUUACUUCAUGCCUGGCACUGUUCUUAAUACUUCCCCUUUAUUAACCCAGAGCUAUGCUAUCAUCGUGCCCAUUUUACAGAUGAAGAGACCGAGGCACGGAGCGGUUACGUGACUCAUGCGCGGUUACACAGCUGACAUAUGCUGGAGCAGGAGACUUCACCUUCCGUUUCCUCCUUUCCUGCCUCCUGACCUCUGAAAUGGAGGGGCAGAAACAGGACCUAAUGGACCCAGGCUCUUCCUCUAAUGCUCUCUGGGUCUCUGCUUGCUCAUUUCUUUUGUCAAAUGUGAUAACAAACCUCCUCCCCAAAGCCCCCGACAGGGGUGUUUUGAAGCUUGAAAGACAGAAGUCCACUUGGGUGCCAAUGAGGAUCAGUCCAAGCCAACAAUGCCCAGCCUCAGAGGGUCACCCAGGGCACUCCUCCAGGGACACGAAGGGGACCUCAGUUGUGGUGGAGCAGGUUGCUCCUUCCUCCCCACUGUCAAGCCAUGUAACCUCUCAGACCAGUUUUC